rnacentral:tRNA from 3 species
UGUCACAUAGCUUAAUAGGCAAAGCACAUUCCCUUGGCCAGGGAUGAUGAUGGUUCGAGUCCAUCUGUGACAGCCA